CACAGAGAAGCCAGGGAACAUGGGGAGUGUAGACCAGGUAGAUAUGCAAGCAUGAAAUGACUGGAUCAUACGAGGACAUGGCCCGAGCCAAACACAGGAUCCAAUUUCCAAGAACACCUGUCGCUUCGUGGAUCAAAUCCAUUUCGCUGCCAUCAGGUAGUAUCUUCUGUUGGGCCAGAAGGUCAAGUCAGAGAUGUCUUCUGGGCUGUCUGGAAACACAGCCCGUGCCCA